rnacentral:rRNA from 1 species
CUCAUAGCGUAUAUUUAAGUUGUUGCAGUUAAAAAGCUCGUAGUCGGAUUUUGGCUGAGAACGAACGGUCCGCCGUUAGGUGUGCACUGUUUGGUCUCAGCUUCCUGGUGAGGAGGUGUGCUUCACGGCCACUUAGUCACCGUGGUUACUUUGAAAAAAUUAGAGUGUUCAAAGCGGGCUUACGCUUGAAUAUAUUAGCAUGGAAUAACACCAUAGGACUCCUGUCCUAUUUCGUUGGUCUCGGGACGGGAGUAAUGAUUAAGAGGAACAGUUGGGGGCAUUCGUAUUUCAUUGUCAGAGGUGAAAUUCUUGGAUUUAUGAAAGACGAACUUCUGCGAAAGCAUUUGCCAAGGAUGUUUUCAUUGAUCAAGAACGAAAGUUGGGGGCUCGAAGAUGAUUAGAUACCAUCCUAGUCUCAACCAUAAACGAUGCCGACUAGGGAUUGGCGGAUGUUAAUUGAUGACUUCGCCAGCACCUUAUGAGAAAUCAAAGUUUUUGGG